UUAAGCGACUAAGCGUACACAGUGGAUGCCCUGGCAGUCAGAGGCGAUGAAGGACGUGCUAAUCUGCGAAAAGCGUCGGUAAGGUGAUAUGAACCGUUAUAACCGGCGAUGUCCGAAUGGGGAAACCCAGUGUGUUUCGACACACUAUCAUUAACUGAAUCCAUAGGUUAAUGAGGCGAACCGGGGGAACUGAAACAUCUAAGUACCCCGAGGAAAAGAAAUCAACCGAGAUUCCCCCAGUAGCGGCGAGCGAACGGGGAGGAGCCCAGAGCCUGAAUCAGUGUGUGUGUUAGUGGAAGCGUCUGGAAAGGCGCGCGAUACAGGGUGACAGCCCCGUACACAAAAAUGCACAUGCUGUGAGCUCGAUGAGUAGGGCGGGACACGUGGUAUCCUGUCUGAAUAUGGGGGGACCAUCCUCCAAGGCUAAAUACUCCUGACUGACCGAUAGUGAACCAGUACCGUGAGGGAAAGGCGAAAAGAACCCCGGCGAGGGGAGUGAAAAAGAACCUGAAACCGUGUACGUACAAGCAGUGGGAGCCCUGAUUUAUCAGGGUGACUGCGUACCUUUUGUAUAAUGGGUCAGCGACUUAUAUUCUGUAGCAAGGUUAACCGAAUAGGGGAGCCGGAGGGAAACCGAGUCUUAACUGGGCGUUAAGUUGCAGGGUAUAGACCCGAAACCCGGUGAUCUAGCCAUGGGCAGGUUGAAGGUUGGGUAACACUAACUGGAGGACCGAACCGACUAAUGUUGAAAAAUUAGCGGAUGACUUGUGGCUGGGGGUGAAAGGCCAAUCAAACCGGGAGAUAGCUGGUUCUCCCCGAAAGCUAUUUAGGUAGCGCCUCGUGAAUUCAUCUCCGGGGGUAGAGCACUGUUUCGGCAAGGGGGUCAUCCCGACUUACCAACCCGAUGCAAACUGCGAAUACCGGAGAAUGUUAUCACGGGAGACACACGGCGGGUGCUAACGUCCGUCGUGAAGAGGGAAACAACCCAGACCGCCAGCUAAGGUCCCAAAGUCAUGGUUAAGUGGGAAACGAUGUGGGAAGGCCCAGACAGCCAGGAUGUUGGCUUAGAAGCAGCCAUCAUUUAAAGAAAGCGUAAUAGCUCACUGGUCGAGUCGGCCUGCGCGGAAGAUGUAACGGGGCUAAACCAUGCACCGAAGCUGCGGCAGCGACGCUGAUGCGUUGUUGGGUAGGGGAGCGUUCUGUAAGCCUGUGAAGGUGUGCUGUGAGGCAUGCUGGAGGUAUCAGAAGUGCGAAUGCUGACAUAAGUAACGAUAAAGCGGGUGAAAAGCCCGCUCGCCGGAAGACCAAGGGUUCCUGUCCAACGUUAAUCGGGGCAGGGUGAGUCGACCCCUAAGGCGAGGCCGAAAGGCGUAGUCGAUGGGAAACAGGUUAAUAUUCCUGUACUUGGUGUUACUGCGAAGGGGGGACGGAGAAGGCUAUGUUGGCCGGGCGACGGUUGUCCCGGUUUAAGCGUGUAGGCUGGUUUUCCAGGCAAAUCCGGAGAAUCAAGGCUGAGGCGUGAUGACGAGGCACUACGGUGCUGAAGCAACAAAUGCCCUGCUUCCAGGAAAAGCCUCUAAGCAUCAGGUAACAUCAAAUCGUACCCAAACCGACACAGGUCAGAAGCGACUUGCUCGUGGAGCUGAAAUCAGUCGAAGAUACCAGCUGGCUGCAACUGUUUAUUAAAAACACAGCACUGUGCAAACACGAAAGUGGACGUAUACGGUGUGACGCCUGCCCGGUGCCGGAAGGUUAAUUGAUGGGGUCAGCGCAAGCGAAGCUCUUGAUCGAAGCCCCGGUAAACGGCGGCCGUAACUAUAACGGUCCUAAGGUAGCGAAAUUCCUUGUCGGGUAAGUUCCGACCUGCACGAAUGGCGUAAUGAUGGCCAGGCUGUCUCCACCCGAGACUCAGUGAAAUUGAACUCGCUGUGAAGAUGCAGUGUACCCGCGGCAAGACGGAAAGACCCCGUGAACCUUUACUAUAGCUUGACACUGAACACUGGUCCUUGAUGUGUAGGAUAGGUGGGAGGCUUUGAAGUGUGGACGCCAGUCUGCAUGGAGCCGUCCUUGAAAUACCACCCUUUAAUGGCUGGUGUUCUAACGUUGGCCCGUAAUCCGGGUUGCGGACAGUGUCUGGUGGGUAGUUUGACUGGGGCGGUCUCCUCCUAAAGAGUAACGGAGGAGCACGAAGGUUGGCUAAUCCUGGUCGGACAUCAGGAGGUUAGUGCAAUGGCAUAAGCCAGCUUGACUGCGAGCGUGACGGCGCGAGCAGGUGCGAAAGCAGGUCAUAGUGAUCCGGUGGUUCUGAAUGGAAGGGCCAUCGCUCAACGGAUAAAAGGUACUCCGGGGAUAACAGGCUGAUACCGCCCAAGAGUUCAUAUCGACGGCGGUGUUUGGCACCUCGAUGUCGGCUCAUCACAUCCUGGGGCUGAAGUAGGUCCCAAGGGUAUGGCUGUUCGCCAUUUAAAGUGGUACGCGAGCUGGGUUUAGAACGUCGUGAGACAGUUCGGUCCCUAUCUGCCGUGGGCGCUGGAGAACUGAGGGGGGCUGCUCCUAGUACGAGAGGACCGGAGUGGACGCAUCACUGGUGUUCGGGUUGUCAUGCCAAUGGCACUGCCCGGUAGCUAAAUGCGGAAGAGAUAAGUGCUGAAAGCAUCUAAGCACGAAACUUGCCCCGAGAUGAGUUCUCCCUGAGACUUAGAGUCUCCUGAAGGAACGUUGAAGACGACGACGUUGAUAGGCCGGGUGUGUAAGCGCAGCGAUGCGUUGAGCUAACCGGUACUAAUGAACCGUGAGGCUUAACCUU
rnacentral:rRNA from 1 species